GAUGAACGCUGGCGGCGUGCCUAAUACAUGCAAGUCGAGCGAACGGACCAGAAGCUUGCUGCUUUGAUGUUAGCGGCGGACGGGUGAGUAACACGUGGAUAACCUACCUAUAAGACUGAGAUAACCUCGGGAAACCGGAGCUAACACCGGAUAAUCUUUUGAACCACAUGGUUCAAUAGUGAAAGACGGUCUUGCUGUCACUUAUAGAUGGAUCCGCGCUGCAUUAGCUAGUUGUUAAGGUAACGGCUUACCAAGGCAACGAGGGGUAGCCGACCGGUGAGGGGGAUCGGCGACACGGGAACGUAGACGCGGUCCAGAGGACUACGGUAGGCAGCAGUAGGGAAUCGUAGGCAAUGGGCGAGAGCCUGACGGAGCGGCGCGGCGUGAGUGAUGAAGGUCUUGGGAUCGUAAAGCUCUGUUACGAGGGAAGAACAGAUGUGUAAGUAACUGUGCACAUCGUGACGGUAACGAGUCAGAAAGCCACGGCUAACUACGUG
rnacentral:rRNA from 1 species